UUUUGCCGCGGUGCCCCCGGUACGUGUCGCCGUUGCCUGCCUCUGCCGCUCGCUUGGUGGGCGGACGCGUGGGACUCGCUAUGCCAAAAGUACCAAAGGGCAGAGGAGGAGGGCAAGAGAAAAAAGUCAUCCAUCCUUACAGCAGAAAGGCUUCUCAGCUUAUGAGAGAAGCACACAAACAGGAAAAAAAGGAAAAGUUGAAGAAUGAAAAAGCCUUGCGUCUGAGCAUUGUAGGAGAAAAAUUGCAAUGGUUUCAAAGUCACCUUGAUCCCAGCAAAGCAGACUACACAAAGAGAGAAGCCUGUGAACUAAUUGAAAAAUAUUUGCAUCGAUUCAGUGAUGAACUGGAACAGAUUGAGUUACGUAACAGCAUUAAAGGCAGACAGGGAAGGCAGCACAAUUCCAGGGAGAUGAUCAUCAAACAGACCAUAGAGCAUGAAAGACAACUCUAUGAAGGAUAUGGGAUAGACAUUCCUGACAUUGUGAAUGGCAAACAUCUUAAAAUUUUCAGAGAAUGGGAUGGCGAUCUGAAGAAACUGCCAAACAUUAAAAUGAGAAAAGUCGCUACUAAAGAUGCUGUUUGCAGUAGGACAGAGGUGGCAAAUGGGGAAGCUGAAGCGAAAUUAGAUGCAGCAAAAGCCACAGACUAAUGAGCACCAGCCGAUACAUAAGGUGAAGCAGCUGAAAGGGACUGCCAGGAACCUAUUUGAACUAUCACUGGAAGCAAGAAUAAAGCGGAAAAACACCUGCCACGCUGUCACAGUUGUGUGGAAUGUUUUCAGGGGCAUAGAUUUGCUGGUGUGGAAACUCAAGGUAAGUUUACUUUAUAGAAUCCAGAAUUCAUUUUUUUCUUGGGUUUAGUGGAUAUCAUGUGCGAUUUAGGGCUGCUUGCAUUCCUCAUGUAAUAUAUAAAAAAAGACUUUCUUGGGCUGAAUGGUAUGACCAAAACCUCCUUGUUGCGCUCAAGGCUAAGUUUGAAGGAUCUGUAGUGUUAAGCAUGUCUCUAGGAUGUGGGGUUUGAUUUGUCCUCUGUGUGAGACUCAGCCGGAGGACCAGCCUUCACCAGACUCCUCUGUUACUACUGUUAGAUGUAAUCCGAAACGAAACCUCUUGCUGUCAGGAUUCCCUAAUUACAGGUAUCACUCCUUCCCUUAUGAUUGAAAUGGGAGGCAGUGUUAGGUACUACACUAGAAGUUAGUACCUGUAGGGCACAUUUGGCAUAGUUUGAAACUGUUGCGCCUCUCUUUUCCGGUGAUUGAUACAUCAUGCAAUUCUAUAUCAGUUCUGUUAGACCCCCUCCUAGCCUAUUCCUAGCAAAUUUCAUUCAGUUACUUAUCAGCUUUUUUUUGUAUGUAGUCUGGGUAGGAGAUUUCCUGUCAUUGACAGUGAACUACAUUGCAUAACAGUAAGUUUCUGUUAUUAACUAAAACAACCAAAAACAAAAAACUCCCUUCUUGCCAGACAAAAGGAACAUGCACUGUUAUGGUUUGAACUAAACUGGAUGAGUCAGUAAUAAAUAAUUAAUCACUCAGUUUCUUAAACUCAAAUGACACAAUGCUAUAAGGAAGUCACCUGGAGCAAUUAGAGAGACGUGGAAGAUGUUUGAGUGACCUUUCACCCUGUGAUCUGCAUUCAUGGCCAUCCAGCAGUCUGGGAGCUAGUGCACAUCUCAUGUGGCUGGGAGCACAGCCAGCACCUGGGCUCUCAAUCUGCCGGGAACUGUGGCACCUCCUCUCAGUGCUGGGGACCAGGAGGAACCCUACAGCCAGCAAGGAGGAGAGGUGAGUAGUGAGGGGAGGGAGGUAGGGGCUCCGGAGGGAGCAGGGCUGGCACCCAUGUCCUACUCUGCCUGCCAGGCUCUCCUCUCAGUGCCACAGGAAGCUGUGAGCCAGCUGAGAGGGGGAGCUGUUCAUGGUGCCAUACCAGGGCAUGUGGAGCCAGCUGUGGAGAGGCUAGAUCCUGAGGCUGGCAGCAGCAUCCAAGGCUGGCAGUGUGAAAAUGAGCCCCCAGGAUUCCCAUCCAGUAGAGAGCGGUGGUGGGGGGAGAGAGCCUAUGCUGCCGGGACAUGGGUGCCCUGUCUGUGCACUCCUCCCCACUCCAGGAUCUAAUGGCAACUCCCUCCCAGGGACUUGGGGUAGGGGUUGGGAGUAGGGAUGGCUUUGAGGCAGUGUGUGGAAGACUCUAAAAUCCUUUCCCCAGUGAAGCCUUGAGCUAGCAGGGAGGGAUAAGGGGAAGCAAGGUGCACCUGGGAAGGAACAGUCUGGGGAGAGGGGGUGUCCCCUCAAGGGCUACCUUUCACAUCUUUGCUCAGUUAACCCAUCAUUCCCUAAGGCUGAGCAUUGUCAUUCAUCUGUGCUAAAGAUUUUAUUGCCUCCUCUACACACCCUGCAUUGAAUUAACUAGAGAUGUGAUAAUAACUGAUUUAGUUAAACUGGUGCAAUAUGAUAAAUAAUUGCUCUUAACUCUAUUUAAAUCUGUCUCAUGUGCUUAGCUUCCCUUGGUAAACCUCCAAACAAAACCUGAACUGAUCUCAAUGAUCUGAAUCACCUAUGUCCACAGAGCUGGUCUGGGUUUUUUUGGUUUGUUUGUUUUUUAAACCAAUUUAACUUACUUCCAUAUGUAGACAAGCUUUGUUUCACUUUGGCAAUAAAAUCACUGCCAAAAGUCCUUUUCUUUCACAUUUUCUUUUAAUGGGAUGCAUAAAAGAGGGGCGUAAGCCUUAUUCUUCCUGGAAUGACUUGAAAGGCUAGUUUGUCAUUGUAAAAGAUGUGGUGUCCUUUAAUAGCACUGUGUUAAACAUUUUUUUAAAAAUGUAUGCUAUUUGGAGUCAUGGAGAAUAUUAGAUUAGCUGUCUGAGUUCUUCCAUGCACAAUUCCAUUAAAACAAAAGGCACUAUAUCAAGCAAAUGUACAAUCUGUAAAGUUGACUUGACAAAAAAAGAGCAGUCUUGAAAUAAUUUGUAAUACUCACUGCUCACAUCUUAUGCAUUUUAAAAUAAAAGCAAAAUGAGAUAUAGAAAUCAAUUUUUUAAUUGUAAUCUCAUGUACCCUGUGUUCCUUUUUGCUAUCAUGUCGACUUCAGCUUUUUAGACUAUUAUGUAGGUUACAUAGGGAAUCAGAAACUUCUCCAGCUAAUGAAGAGAAAAAUACUUUUUAUAUUGAUUGUAACCAGAAAAAUUACUAUAAAAAUGGCAAGAUCUUACAUAAGGAACAGAUAGGAUGACUGUCUGAUUCAUGCUGGCAAACGGAAAUUGUUAUCACGUGUCAGUACAGAAAAAUGAGCUGGAUUUUAUUCUGUCUUGCACAUCAUCAAUUUGUCGAGUAAGUUUUGACUUCAGAAUCUUUAUAUGGUAAUGAUGGAAGAGAGAAAUUCAUGUUGACUUUAAAUUUCUAGGUUGAGAAUGUUAUUGAGAGAGAAAAUGAAUAUGGAAUCCCUUGAUGUCAUUUUUAUAGUAAUCUUACUGACAAUUACUGUGCUUUACAGCCAGCUGGUGUGUUUUACUGGACUGAAGAGCCUAUUUCUUCUCUGAAGGCUAUAAGGAUGCUUUGGUGUUCUGUUUCACUUACAUUCUCUUUUAAACGAAAAUAUAUAAAGUGACUGCCAUUAACAUGAAAAUGUCUAAUUACUCCAGUGUUUUUCUAUGUUUAGACAUAGAUUGCUUUAAUAUAGGAAAUAUCGUGGAAAUGUUACUUGGAGAAAUGUUAACCACUGUAGAUGGGAGGUGCUCUGUGUUUAAAAGAGCAUUAUAAAGUUUAGUUAUAAUUAGAAAAUUCAGAAGUUGUUCUCUUUCAGAAUGCUGUGAGCUGAUUUUCCUCCCACCGUAAUGUCUGAGAUUUUUUUUUAUUUAGCUUUAUGUAAUUGAUUGUAAUGGUGUUUAACUGCAAAGUUUUAAGUGUUACAAUGCGUCUUUGUUUUAGCUAAAGGGACUCAAAACAAGUUGUGUACAAAACUUCAAACUAGCAUAAGGGCUGGUCUUUAAAUUAAUAUAGCUCGAAUAAGAUAGAAUGAGGCAUUGCUUUAAGUUCA